UUUAAGUUCUUGAAAUUGCUUGGAUUGCUCCAUAGCAUGUUUUUCUAGCAAAAUUUCCAAGCUGGAUUUCUGAGGGACUCUUUCGUUGUUUGCAUAAACGGAUGGUGUUGUUUGUUGUCCAAAUGUAUAAAAUUUUUGCUCGGGACUUUUAGCAACACUACCUAGUUGGCAUUCAACACCAGUAUGGUCAAGUAUUCCACAAAAUUCACAAGGUGGUGAAACAAGAGCAGGUGUGACGAGGCAAAAACCCACUUUCAGAAUAUGACAAGGCAAUCAACAAGCUACAAGUAAAGUACAGAACAUAUAUCGUCGAGUACGACUUCGACACUAUUAUGAAAGGUUAACUUGGAUUGGAUUUGCAAUGGUCAGCUUCUAGAUGUCACAAUAGGAUAUUUUAUGAUUGCAUUAGUAUGCCAAUAUAUGGAUGUUGGAAAUCAAUGGUGGGGUGGAGCCGGAGAUAUUGUUCUAGCUCAUGUCAAAGUAGGUAAGACAUAAUCAACACAAGUAGUGUGGCAUAUGAGAACGAUAAGGACCUGAAGGCUAUCAAGCUUUGAUGUGGCUUUUAGGGACAAGGGAAAAUGAGGAAGAAAAAUCACUAUUUGUUAUAGUAUACUCUGUAUAGGUAAUGCCUCCCAAUUUUAUCUGAUUUCAAGUUACAAGUAAUUAGAAUUGAGUUUUAAUAUAGUUGUCUUUGACUUCGAAAAUGUAUAUUGAGAACAUAGCACAACCAGUCAUGAAAAAAUGUAUAUUAGGAUAGCUUAUGAAAGCUGAUUUUUGUGA